GCCAUCGCCUCCAUCCUCCUCGCGCGCCCCCAGCCUCGCCACCACCAAUCCCCGCAGCCGUCGUCCGCCCCCUCCUUCCACGCCACGAGCUCCUCCUACUCCAUCCCAGAGCGCCCCUUCCCAUCCUGCCCAUUCCCUCGCGAGUAGCAGCAGCGCCGGCGGCUAAUGCAGGAGAGAGAAGGAGGCAUCACCAAGGAUCCAGGCUGAUGCGGAGAGAGAGAGGAGGCGGCGUCGUCAAGGAGCGGCUCGAGAUCGGCAUCCUCUAGACCCAUCUCUGCACCUCAACUCCCAAGCCAAUUUCAGACAGGAGGAUUUUAAGAUUUGCUGGUGAUUGGCCAUCUCCACUUGGAAAACACUAUUUGAAGAGAGAGGUUAUUUCAUGAAAGCAAAAGCG